AAUCGGAGCCUCUUCGACCUAGGGAACGAUUCCAAGUGAACUCCUAGUGUCCGCCGCUCAGUGAGGAACGUUCUUCAUGAACUCUCACCUGAGCCUCUUCGACCUAGGGAACGAUUUCAAGUGAACUCCUAGAGUCCGCCACUUGGUGAGAAACGUUUUUCGUGAACUCUCGCUUAAGUCUCUUCGACCUAGGGAACAUUCUAAGUGAACUCG
rnacentral:lncRNA from 1 species